CCUUCGAGCCGCGACCCAUUUCUUUCUCGGGACUCCAUCUCCCGAGCCCGGUACUUAAGCGGUGUCGCCGGUCUCCGCGGCUCCUGAAUCCCGCAGCUUCAGGGCGGAUCGUGGCUGGCUGGCCACCCCCCGCAGGGCCGCGUGGGAGUGGGCUCUCCUCGACCCUUUGUUCUCCCUCCUGACGCAGCAGCCGCAAGGAGGAUGGCUGUGCCUUCUCAAGGCUCUGUCCUUCUUCCAAGACAGAGCAUAGUGGAAGAAGAGGAGGGAAUGAUCCCUGGGCUUCUAACAGCCAGGUCUCGGGUAAGUUAGGGGUUUUUCCUCUCCUGAAAUAUUCUCAGUUCUCAGAGUACGGCUGCUUUUUGUUCUGUUCUCCUUGGUCUUUCCUGCCCAUCCAAAUUCUGUACAGAGACCUGAACCCUAAUUGCUUUCUCUAAGAAGGCAGCAUAUUUCGGCAAAUGAAGUAGUUAUUUGUAAGAGUUAAAGGGAACAUUAGAGAUUAUCUCGUACGACCUCCUUAUUUGGGCCCUUGACAUGAAGUGAUGGGCUCAGUAUUUCCAGAGGUUGGAUUUGGACUAGGUUUCUCAACCUCCAGUUCUGUACUUUUUCCACUAAACCACAGGACUCUGUAGAAAAUGCCCGUCAUUGUCUCCUUUAAUGUUCUUCCUCAGUAUCCCUCUCCUCUCUACGUGAGUUGGUUAUUCAUUGAAGCAUUAUAGCAGAGCAGAAAGAGGGCUGGAUUUGGAGUGGGCGAAGAUCUAGACUUGCCAUAGGCUUCAUUUGACUUUUUGGAUUAUGUUUGCCCGUUUGUAAAAUGGGGAUAAUACUAUUCCUAAUGUUUACAGUACUGGUUCACCCCAUUAGUUCAAAUAAUAAAGCCCCCUGAAGUGGUCA
rnacentral:lncRNA from 1 species